GGGCCCGUAGCUCAGCUGGUCAGAGCAGCCGACUCAUAAUCGGUAGGUCCCUGGUUCGAGUCCAGGCGGGCCCA
rnacentral:tRNA from 3 species